rnacentral:rRNA from 1 species
UAGGGAAUCUUCCACAAUGGACGCAAGUCUGAUGGAGCAACGCCGCGUGAGUGAAGAAGGCUUUCGGGUCGUAAAACUCUGUUGUUGGAGAAGAAUGGUCGGCAGAGUAACUGUUGUCGGCGUGACGGUAUCCAACCAGAAAGCCACGGCUAACUACGUGCCAGCAGCCGCGGUAAUACGUAGGUGGCAAGCGUUAUCCGGAUUUAUUGGACGUAAAGCGAGCGCAG